rnacentral:rRNA from 1 species
GCUCAGGAUGAACGCUGGCGGCGUGCUUAACACAUGCAAGUCGAACGAAGCACUUUUACAGAUUUCUUCGGAAUGAAGUUUUAGUGACUGAGUGGCGGGCGGGUGAGUAACGCGUGGGUAACCUGCCUCACACAGGGGGAUAACAGUUGGAAACGGCUGCUAAUACCGCAUAAGCGCACAGUACCGCAUGGUACAGUGUGAAAAACUCCGGUGGUGUGAGAUGGACCCGCGUCUGAUUAGCUAGUUGGCAGGGCAACGGCCUACCAAGGCGACGAUCAGUAGCCGACCUGAGAGGGUGACCGGCCACAUUGGGACUGAGACACGGCCCAAACUCCUACGGGAGGCAGCAGUA